rnacentral:tRNA from 1 species
AUUGGAUAGAGCAACAGUCUUCGAAACUGUCGGUUAGGCGUUCAAGUCGCCUCAGGCGCGCCA